AUUAUUGGUGGAAUUUGUGUGGUUUUGCCCCAUGUUUUAUUGUAUGGAUUUAUUGCGAAUAUUUAUUGUGAGUGUGUAUGUGUGUGUGUGCAUAUGUAUGCGUGGGUAUUUAUACAUACAUAUAUAUAUAUGGCGAACUGGCAGAAACGUUAGCACGCCAGGCGAAAUGCGUAGCCGUAUUUCGUUUGCCGUUACGUUCUGAGUUCAAAUUCCGCUGAGGUCGACUUUGCCUUUCAUCCUUUCGGGGUCGAUAAAUUAAGUACCAGUUACACACUGGGGUCGAUGUAAUCGACUUAAUCCGUUUGUCUGUCCUUCUUUGUCCCCUCUGUGUUUAGCCCCUUGUGGGUAGUAAAGAAAUAUAUAUAUAUAUUUACAUAUGUACAUACGUCCAUACAUACAUAUAUAGAAUAUAUAUUCUUUUAUUCUUUUAUUUGUUUCAGUCAUUCAAAUCGAACCCAGGACUUAUUCUUUGUAAGCCUAGUACUUAUUCUAUCGGUUUCUUUUGCUGAACUGCUAAGUUAUGGGGAUGCAACCUCACCAACAUCGGUUGUCAAGCAAUGUUGGGGGUACGAACACAGACCCACCCUGCCACACAUAUACAUUCAUAUAUAUAUAAAUACAUGUAUGUAUAUAUAUAUAUACACACAUACAUACAUAUAUAUAAAUACAUGUAUCAAUAUAUAUAUACACUCACACACACACACACACAUAUGUAUAUACAUAUAUAUACAUAUAUACAUACAUAUAUAUAUAUAUAUAUAUAUAUAUAUAUAUAUAUAUAUAAUGUAAUGAAAUGAUUAAACAAACCAAGCAAUGUUGUUUUGGUUGUGUAAUUCAAAAGUUGGUUAAAUAAGAACACUUCAAACCAGUGACUGCAUUCUGCAAGAAGUUUAAUUAAAAACUCUCCAGCAGUAAUACAAUAAAAUUAAUUCAAUCAACCAUUUUAUCUUUUCAUUAAAAACAAAAUAAUUUCUCCAAUGUACACAAUGCAAAGAGGUGCUGGCUUGGCUACGUAUUAAAAUGUUGGCUUCUCAACCACAAAGUUCUGGGUUCAGUUCCACUGGGCAAGUGUCUUCUAUUAUAGCCUCAGUUCAACCAAAGUCUUGUGGUAGAUGGAAACUGAAAGAAGCCCAUAGUGUAUAUGUAUGUGUGUGUCAUAGUAUCUGUGUCUCCUAGCACCCCUUGAAAACUGGUGUUGGUGCGAUUACGCCCACAUAGCUUAGUGGUCCAGUGAUAGAGACCAAUAAAUUGAGGACAGGGCAUAGAAAAAUAAUUACUGGGGUCAAUUCAUUCAACUAAAAAUUCUUCAAGGAGGUGCCCCAGCCCCAGUCUAAUGAUUGAAACAAAGUAAAAAGUAGAAGAUAAAAAUAAAAUAUAUUUCUAUAGAACAUUUAUUUUAACACAAUUCAUUUGACAGAUUUUUUCUUUUAGCCAUUUUAUCCAUUUGAUCAUUAUAUUUCUGUUGCAAUACACUGCCUUUGUUUAAUUAAAUAUGAAAAUAAUGAAAGAUUUAUUAAAAUUACUGUCAAUAAUAAGCUGGAAUUUGGAGCAUAGAUUACUAAAAAAUUUCAAUACCAGGUUUUACUAUGGAUCUCUUUAAAACAGAAAGUUUGUAUCUGAAUCCAGAGCAGUCAAACUUGAGGUUGUGAGUUCAGUUCCCAGACCAGGCUGUGUUUUGUGCACUUUUUGAGCAAGACACUUUAUUUCAUGUUGCCGCAGUUUGCUCAUCUGUAGAAAUGAGUAGAGAUGUCACUGGUGCCAAGCUGUAUUGGCCCCUUUGCCUUUCCCUUGGAUAACAUUAGUGGCAUGGAGAGGGGAAGCUCGUACGCAUGGACAACUGGUGGUCAUCCACAUACAAACUCAUCCAGACUUGUGCCUCAGAGAGGAACUUUCUAGGUGCACUUCCAUGGACACUCAUGACUGAAGGGUGUUCUUACCCUGUCCAACACCAACAAUUCCAUCAAUCAGCUGCAUUACUUUCCACUUUUGCUUUCUUUUAACAGGUUUCUUAAAUCUCAUUCAGUAAAUAUAUAAAUGGGUAACCCUGCGAAGGACAGGCAUUCUUUUCAAGGCCUGCCUAACCAGUAGGAUGGCAUCAUUGGAAAGCUACAACUAUGUGAGGAAGAGUAUUGUGAUCAAUGGUGUAUAACAACAUCUGAUAGUCUGGUCUAUACAGAUAUACAAUGACAUAUAUAGAUAUAGAUACAUUCAUACACGCAUUCAUUCAUGCAUGUGUGUGUGCAUAUGUAUGUACAUAUAUAUAUAUGAAUAUAUGCAUGUGUGUAUCUAUUUAUAUGUGUGUGUGUAUGUAUAUAUAUAUACGUAUGUAUAUAUAUAUAUAUAUAUCAGAUCUGACUGGCCUGGUGCAGCCUUCGGGCUCCCCAGACUCCAGUUGAACCGUCCAACCCAUGCUAGCAUGGAAAGCGGACGUUAAAUGAAGAUGAUGAUGAUGAUGAUAUAUAUAUAUGAUUGAUUGAUUCUAGUUUCAGCUUAUGAGCUGUGGCCAUAUAUAUAUACAUAUAUAUAUGUAUAUAUAUAUAUAUUUGUAUGUAUGAAAACAAGAUGUUUUUGUUAUCUUAGGACAUGAAGAAGUUAAUGCAAGUGAAAGGUGCUGACCACUUUAACUCGACUACCAAUUAACCAAGUUGUGGGUUCAAU
rnacentral:lncRNA from 1 species